UUAGGGAAGAGAGAUCAGGAAGGAGAAGAUCCGGGAGGAGAAGGUCCGGGAAAAGAAGGCUGAGAAAAAGAGAAACCAUGUAAGUUUCAGAGCAACAGGUGAACCCCUGAGACGGGACCGCCAGCGCUGUGAGGGCAGAGGAAGGGCAGGAGCUGCAGCCCAGCUGCAUAAGAGGAGUGGAAGUACACCGUGCAGGACGUGCGUGGGCGCGCACCCAUGUGCAAGUGGCAUGGAGCAUGCCCACGCGUGCACACGAUGCCGUGUGCGGGCACAGCGAGCCGAACCUCUGCGCAUGUGCGAAACUGCUGCGUCUCGGCGCACUGACAGAUCAGAUCACUGACACUGGAGGACAACUGAGACCCACUGAAGCAAUGACCUUGAGGAGGCCAGCAGGGAUGGGCCUGCCACGUGCACCUUCAUCUAGGGGUGGAGGGCCUGGGCAGUUCUUCACAGAUGCAGUGAGGGCAGGGUAAAUCAGAGGCUCCACCCUGACGGUCUCAUUUUUCCAGGUCAUCCGCUGGUAGGAUGGGGAGGGCACAGGGCUGGAGAGAGAGGUUCAUUGACUGACUCCACAGAGAAACCCCCUGACCUGACCCCCAGCAAGGCCUGGAACCGGUCAUCAGAGCAGGAGGUGGCCGUCCUGGGAGCACAGUUGGCUGUGAACUGCAGCUGGGGAGGAGGGGCAGACAUGCAGCCUCCUCAGGAACAGGCUGGCACCAGGUUGGUUCUGGACUGGCUGGGUCCUGCCUGGUCAGUUCCUCUCCAGCUAUGGAACUUGGAUUGAGUAACUCUGCCUGUCUGAAUGCCAGCCACCUACCUGUGAAAUGAGCCAGGUGGAUUUUCAGAAGUCCCAGAGAAGGCAUUCCUGGUGGCAGGCCUGGCAGGGCCAGUGAGAGCCCGGGGUGUCCCGUGGCUGCCCACACUUCACCCAGGUCCUCCCUUCCCACCACCCAGCUAGACCAGCAGGAGCUCGGCGGACUUGAAGAUCUGUACCAUGAGCCAAGUAUCCCUCCCUGCGGGCUGGGCGCCUUCCCUCCACACGUGGGCUCCAGCUCUCCCGCCCUCUCUCCUCCCAUCCAGCUAAUCUUUCCAGGCCCAGUUUGAGCUGCCAAUACAGACAGAAGACAGGACAAAACUAGGCGAAGGCAAGGGAUCCCCUAGAUGCCAGAGGGUCCAACACACAGCAAAGGGGUGAUGGUCCCAGAGGUAGGAAGAGCUCCUGGGACCCAGCUGGGAAGCCGACCAGGAGGACAGUGGGCAAGGGGCGUGUCCAGAGCUUCGCACACCAGCAGUUCCUUCUGUGGCCAUCUUAACCCAGACAGAUGUGUGCCCAUGUGCCAAGGCACAUGCAUGGUGCUCACUGCAGUGGUUCUGGUGUAAUUUCUUAGUGCUCCAUGAAAGAAUUCAGCCUGAGGCACAGCCUCUCAGGAGGCUGGGGCAAGAGGAUCACAAGUUCAAGGCCAGCCUAGCAACUUGGCAAGACACUGCUGGAAAUAGAAACUGAGAAGGGUGACAGGUGUGUUCCAGUGGCAGAGCCUGCGUGACGUCCUAGGUUCCCUCCCAGCACAGGAAGAAUGUAAAGAACUUUCCCUGGGACCUCACUACGUCCUUUGAAGUGUAAACGCCCCUGUGAAGGCUGGAGCUCAAGGCUGGAGGACAGAAGACCUUGUGAGCCAGCGUCCUUACUGCAGCCUGCUUUUGUCUUGAUUUAGAAGGUGACUCAGCACACACCCGCUAUCAAGCGCAGAGGGCCUGCCAGAGGCUCCUCAUCUGUCAAGGGGAGAUAGCAACCAUCCUGCCAGGGCCACUGAGGGUCCCACCCAGGCCUGCCAGACACAGCCUGCCCGCGAGUGCUUGCCCCAAUCACAGGUGGGCAAGGACUAUUCGUAUUUCAACAAAAAAGUAUUAAAAAGAAAAAUUAACGCCAUUAGUUGAAAAAUAAGUCACGCAGUGAUCUGUUGUUGAAUCC